rnacentral:rRNA from 1 species
UACAGAGGGGGCAAGCGUUGUUCGGAAUUACUGGGCGUAAAGGGCGCGUAGGCGGCCUUCUAAGUCGAACGUGAAAUCCCUGGGCUCAACCCAGGAACUGCGUCCGAAACUGCCUUGCUCGAGUAUGGGAGAGGGAAGUGGAAUUUCCGGUGUAGCGGUGAAAUGCGUAGAUAUCGGAAGGAACAUCAGUGGCGAAGGCGACUUCCUGGACCAAUACUGACGCUCAGGUGCGAAAGCGUGGGGAGCAAACAGG